DUMUAAUAAGCGGAGGAAAAGAAACUAACAAGGAUUCCCCCAGUAACGGCGAGUGAAGUGGGAAAAGCUCAACUUUGAAAUCUGGCUGUUUUACAGUCCGAGUUGUAGUCUCGAGAAGUGUUUUCCGCGUUAAACCGUGUAUGAGUCUGUUGGAACACAGCGUCAUAGAGGGUGAGAACCCCGUUCAUGACACGGCUUUUAAUGCUUUGUGAUACACUUUCGAUGAGUCGAGUUGUUUGGGAAUGCAGCUCAAAUUGGGUGGUAAAUUCCAUCUAAAGCUAAAUAUUGGCGAGAGACCGAUAGCAAACAAGUACCGUGAGGGAAAGAUGAAAAGCACUUUGGAAAGAGAGUUAAAAGUACGUGAAAUUGUCGAAAGGGAAACGCUUGAAGUCAGACGUGCACGGGAUUUAUUCCUAUUGCAGGCCGACAUCGGUUUUACGAGCCGGAUAAAGGUACAAGGAAGGUAGCAGUUUCGGCUGUGUUAUAGCCUCGUACUGAAUACGGAUUGUGAGACCGAGGGACGCAGCGCGCCGCAAGGCAAAGGGUCCGCCCUUUUCGCGCUUAGGAUGUUGGUGAAAUGGCUUUAAUCGACCCGUCUUGAAA
rnacentral:rRNA from 1 species